GAAGCGGUGGCUCAAUGGUAGAGCUUUCGACUCCAGUUAAAUCCUGGAUUAUCUAUGGAAACUAGUAAUUGCAAUCGAAGGGUUGCAGGUUCAAUUCCUGUCCGUUUCA
rnacentral:tRNA from 1 species